rnacentral:tRNA from 1 species
GGUGGCUCAGUGGUAGAGAGCUUGCCUUGCAUGCAAGAGGCCCUGGGUUCCAUUCCUCAGCACCA